rnacentral:rRNA from 1 species
GACGAACGCUGGCGGCGUGCCUAAUACAUGCAAGUUGAGCGCUGAAGGUUGGUACUUGUACCGACUGGAUGAGCAGCGAACGGGUGAGUAACGCGUGGGGAAUCUGCCUUUGAGCGGGGGACAACAUUUGGAAACGAAUGCUAAUACCGCAUAAAAACUUUAAACACAAGUUUUAAGUUUGAAAGAUGCAAUUGCAUCACUCAAAGAUGAUCCCGCGUUGUAUUAGCUAGUUGGUGAGGUAAAGGCUCACCAAGGCGAUGAUACAUAGCCGACCUGAGAGGGUGAUCGGCCACAUUGGGACUGAGACACGGCCCAAACCCCUACGGGAGGCAGCAGUAGGGAAUCUUCGGAAAUGGACGAAAGUCUGACCGAGCAACGCCGCGUGAGUGAAGAAGGUUGUCGGAUCGGAAAACUCUGUUGGUAGAGAAGAACGUUGGUGAGAGUGGAAAGCUCAUCAAGUGACGGUAACUACCCAGAAAGGGACGGCUAACUACGUG